CCUCUCGCACUCCUCUAGGCCCUUCCCACCACUAGCCCGAGCUCGAGCAGCUCUCCUCGACCCCCAACCCUGCCGUGGCCGCUGCUCCCUCCCUCCUAAAUUGGCUCGAAGCCGAGCCUCUUCCCCCACUCCACCACCUCUAGACGCCUCCUGCUCCACCUAGAAGCCGCCCCGGUAUCCUCCUCCUUCCCCGGUGGCUCUGGUCCUCGAGUUCGCCGGAGCCCGUAGACCCCUUCCGCCGGCGCCCGCAUUGCCAUCUCCCUGGACCACCCCGUCGUCCGUGGAUGAGCCCUGGAGAUGCGCCGGAGCCCGCUGAGCUCACCCAUAUGUGGAGCCUCACCGGAGAUGCUCCGUAGCUCCGGCAGGCCUCGUCGGGGCUGGCUGUGCCGCGGCCAGGCGCAAGCGAGAGGAGGGAGAUGACGACACCGAAGCCAGCUCACCAGUCGGCCCCGCGACCCCACCCGUCAGCCGCACAGGGGGUUGACCCGACAAAGCUGUCGUGGAUAAGUGGACGCGGGAUUUGCAUGUAUGCGCUUUCCCCUUACGAAAGCGUACUCUGGUCUUCUUCGGACAAAAAGACGUUUUCCAUCUGGAAAACGUAUUUUUUGAUAAGGCACUUUUGGUUUUUCCGGCUGAGGGACUUUUUGUGAGGAUUUUCUUACAGAAAGGUCCCUGACAGAAAAACAACUAUAUCUUUUCAACCACAACUCCUAUUUAGGUGAUUCCAAAGCCCACUUCUUCAUCUCUUUGAGCCCAAACUUUUGGUAACAUUUUCACUAUGUUUUGACAUUCUGAAAAUGACUAUUUUGCCCUUUCCCCAAUCAGCCCCCUCUGAGAGAGAACCUUUCCGGCGAUUGCUUCCGCGAUCUUUCCACACUUCUCCCUAGAGCUUUCUUCAUCCCCAGGCAAGCCACAACCACCAUUUGCAUGAUAGAAAUGCAGAAGCAUUGGUUUUCAACUUGAAUCUUUAAUAAAUGUUUGAUGGUUUUGCUACUGCUAUCGUUAUUUUGGUUAUGCUUAUGGAUCGGUGUUACCGUCAUGUUUUCUUGCACUCUGUUGUUAUGUUCUUGAUGCUAGUAUUACGUUACUAUUGGCAAUGUUUGGUAGUAGUACAUGUUGGUGAUGGUCUUCGGUGCAUGACUUUUGGCUGUCCCGAGUACUGUCGUUAUGCAUGUUUCUUUGCGUCGAGUCGAUUAAAUACUUGCAUGGUAGUUAUUUUUAUGCUAGUGUCAUGUUAUGCUAUGAGUAGUGUUCUAGUUGUGAUAUUCAUGCUCAUCAGUAUGCCAUGCUCAUCUGCAUAAAUGGGUAAAUGUUGUUUUUAUGCUCGUUGAUUAUGAUGCAUCGCCAUGCUUAUGUUGACAUCAUGUUCAUGCAUUGUAGUUAUUUUAACAUGGCUCAGCAUAUUGCAUUCAAGUUUAACCGGAUUAAAUUGAACUUGAACAACUGUUGGCUGAGUCAUGGUGCCACCAUAUCGAUCUGACCAGUGCAACCACGCUUACCCUAUGGGGGCUCCUAACUGGGUCUAUUGUCAUGCCUCUCAUCGGUGCUUCCCGCGAGGGAAGGUUAUGCACGGGCGCUACCUUGGCCAGGUAGGACGGCAUAAGCCUUGUGUGCCCGUUGUUGAGUAUGGAUCCUUGUCCAUGUUUGGGACCGUUUUGCCACGACGGUGGCCGUUGGUGCCUUUGGUAGGCACGGGACCACCCAAGACUUAUCCCAAAGGGGAGUUGGUCGGAGUGGCCGGGAGAGCGUCAUGGCAGUAGGACGGUUUUGUCGGAAUGCUUUGGUCCACCCGAAUGGGAGUGUGAGGCCAGGGUUCCGUGAUGUGGGUACAAUAUGCUAACCUCUGCAGAGUGUGUGUGUUAAAUCUAUCGAUAGCCGCCCCCGUGGGUAUGGGCCCAGUUCGUAGUUAGUCACACUAUGGGUCAACAGUAAUAAUAAAAAUUUGCUUAAUAACAACCCUAGUUCGAUGAUGAAAGAAGUUGGUUGAUAUUUAUGUGAUCGUAAGAGGAUCACUGUGGUAUUGUGAAUACCGACUUGUUGGAUACUUGUGGUGUUAUGCGAGAGUCAAGGGUAAAGGUCAAGCUCCUUGUGGUCAUGAAUGAUUACUACGGUAUUGUUAAUACCAAGCUUGAUUUGGAUCCUGUGACGAUCGUGUGAUUUCCGUGAUGGUAAGUUUGUGCAUGUGAUGGUUACGAGGUAACCCGAGUAGAGUAAGUUGGUGCAUGAUAGUGUCAUCAGGUUGCAUAAUAGUUUCAUCAUGGUUAUAUGUUCAUGCCAUGCUUAUAUUGUGCUAGCUGUAUCAUGUUAUUCAUGCCAUGUUGUUCUGAUGAUGUUAUGUUAAUCCUUGUUAACCUGUUAUUGCCAUGCUAUUGUUUGUCUUGAUUGCUUCGGUUGAUGUGAGCUUGCAAGUACAUUCAAUGUACUGACCUAGCAUGUCAUGCCAGUUUGCAGGUCAUGCUAGAUUUGAUUGCUUCUUUGCCGUGGAUUCCUUGUUUGCGAGCUAGGAUAAGCGUUCCAGCCAGAGUCCCUGCGGAGUGGAGUUCACCACCAUCGUUGCUGUUCCGCUGCCAGUAGUCAUUCCGCUGCUUCGUGUUGUUCUGCUGCUUGGAUGGAGCAACCAUGGCAUGCGUAGUUUCGCCGUGCCGAUGUAACCCCCCUUGUACCCAAUAUAGAUUGCAAUAAAGAGAUGGUUUGUUCUAUGCUAAGCAGUGCCAUAUUCCAGAAGACUUCUCCUUGAUCUCUAGGCUGGAAUACGGGGUGUUCUG
rnacentral:lncRNA from 1 species